rnacentral:rRNA from 1 species
AUGAGUCAUUUCAUGUUCAACGAUACUUCUCUGAGUGGUGAGCACUCAGCUUUAGAAAGAAUAUUUCGAUCAACAUCAGAAUGCAAGAGUAUGAAACCCGGGGAGGUAGAAACAGGUCAUAAGCAAUUUUCAUUGUUCUUGAAAGCAAUGGUAGUAUCUAGUACUUCGCCCUUCACCCUUGAGUGGAAAAGUAUUCACAGGUCCUAUCUUACAGAGUUGUCACCUACUGAGGCUUCACAUGGACCAUACAAACAGUCAGAGAGGCUUCACAAAGAUAAUGCUGAAGACCUUAAAUCGUGGUAA